rnacentral:pre_miRNA from 1 species
AGCCUUCUAAAUUCAUACCGAGAUUUCGUCAGACACCAAAACAUCAGUACUUAUGAGACUCGAGGUCAGUGAAGCG